ACUUACCCGUGAACUUAGGUCUUUGGGCAGCAGCAUUAUCUCGAACUUACACAGCGUCCCGAACAAAAGAACUAAGCCAAUCUCCACAAAGGGCGGCAGCCCCUCCAUCAAACUGAUCCACCCACAGAAUUCUGCCCAGAUACCUUGGAUCCACCAGCCACAACAAGCCUCGCGGUACACACGAAGAUUCCACCUAGAAUCCAACCGGUUUUCUGAGGAAUCAGACUGAUUUUGGAAGUAACAGACCACUCUUCGGAAAGUGUCCUGUGCCAAGGGCUGGACGUCAGGAAUCUUGGAGCCGUUCUUGGAGCAGAGAAUUGAGUGACUUUCUCAAGUGCACGUUGACACUCCGAAUGGUUCUGCCAGUAUCACAGACGUUCAGUAGGUCUCAUGAAUGUCUUUCGAGCCUGGUAUUCUCUAGAGAUAUCUGCAUGCCGGUAUUCCCAAUUGUAGAGGAACAACUCUCACCAAUAUUUUCGCAUCUCUCCUCAA